rnacentral:rRNA from 1 species
UACGAAGGGGGCUAGCGUUGUUCGGAAUUACUGGGCGUAAAGCGCACGUAGGCGGAUACUUAAGUCAGGGGUGAAAUCCCGGGGCUCAACCCCGGAGCUGCCUUUGAUACUGGGUAUCUCGAGUCCGGAAGAGGUGAGUGGAAUUCCGAGUGUAGAGGUGAAAUUCGUAGAUAUUCGGAGGAACACCAGUGGCGAAGGCGGCUCACUGGCCCGAUACUGAUGCUGAGGUGCGAAAGCGUGGGGAGCAAACAGG